rnacentral:rRNA from 1 species
UACGUAGGGAGCAAGCGUUGUCCGGAAUCAUUGGGCGUAAAGCGCGCGUAGGCGGCCCUGUAAGUCCGUUGUGAAAGUCAAAGGCUCAACCUUUGAAAGCCGAUGGAUACUGCAGGGCUGGAGUCCGGAAGAGGCGAGUGGAAUUCCUGGUGUAGCGGUGGAAUGCGCAGAUGUCAGGAGGAACACCAAUAGCGAAGGCGGCUCGCUGGGACGGUACUGACGCUGAGGCGCGAAAGCGUGGGGAGCGAACAGG